rnacentral:rRNA from 1 species
GGAGCUUAACACAUGCAAGUCGAACGAUGAAGCCGGAGCUUGCUCUGGUGGAUUAGUGGCGAACGGGUGAGUAACACGUGAGUAACCUGCCCUUGACUCUGGGAUAAGCGUUGGAAACGACGUCUAAUACCGGAUACGAGCUGGGACCGCAUGGUCACCAGCUGGAAAGAAUUUCGGUCAAGGAUGGACUCGCGGCCUAUCAGUUAGUUGGUGAGGUAACGGCUCACCAAGACGACGACGGGUAGCCGGCCUGAGAGGGUGACCGGCCACACUGGGACUGAGACACGGCCCAGACUCCUACGGGAGGCAGCAGUGGGGAAUAUUGCACAAUGGGCGCAAGCCUGAUGCAGCAACGCCGCGUGAGGGACGACGGCCUUCGGGUUGUAAACCUCUUUUAGCAGGGAAGAAGCGAAAGUGACGGUAC